UACGAAGGGGGCUAGCGUUGCUCGGAAUCACUGGGCGUAAAGCGCACGUAGGCGGAUUGCUAAGUCAGGGGUGAAAUCCUGGAGCUCAACUCCAGAACUGCCCUUGAUACUGGCGGUCUCGAGUCCGGGAGAGGUGAGUGGAACUGCGAGUGUAGAGGUGAAAUUCGUAGAUAUUCGCAAGAACACCAGUGGCGAAGGCGGCUCACUGGCUCGGUACUGACGCUGAGGUGCGAAAGCGUGGGGAGCAAACAGGG
rnacentral:rRNA from 1 species